rnacentral:rRNA from 1 species
CGGGUGAGUAACGCGUAUGCAACCUACCUAUCGAGAGGGGAAUAACCCGGCGAAAGUCGGACUAAUACCGCAUAAAACAGGGGCACCGCAUGGUGAUAUUUGUUAAAGAAAUUCGCUGAUAGAUGGGCAUGCGUUCCAUUAGGUAGUUGGUGAGGUAACGGCUCACCAAGCCGACGAUGGAUAGGGAACUGAGAGGUUGGUCCCCCACACUGGUACUGAGACACGGACCAGACUCCUACGGGAGGCAGCAGUGAGGAAUAUUGGUCAAUGGGCGGGAGCCUGAACCAGCCAAGUCGCGUAGAAGGAAGAAGGAUCUAUGGUUACGUAAACUUCUUUUGCAGGGGAAUAAAGUGCAGGACGUGUCCUGUUUUGUAUGUACCCUGAGAAUAAGGAUCGGCUAACUCCGUGCCAGCCGCUGC